rnacentral:rRNA from 1 species
CGGAAUCGAUAACCGCUGAAAGCAUCUAAGCGGGAAGCGAGCCCUGAGAUGAGUCAUCCCUGACCCCUUGAGGGUCCUAAAGGGCCGUUGGAGACCACAACGUUGAUAGGUGGGGUGUGUAAGCGUAGCGAUACGUUGAGCUAACCCAUACUAAUUACCCGUGAGGCUUAACCAU